rnacentral:rRNA from 1 species
GUGGGACAAUGGGUAUCGACACCGAAAGGUGAAGGCAAUCUCCUAAACCCAUCCGUAGUUCGGAUUGUGGGCUGCAACUCGCCCACAUGAAGCUGGAAUCUGUAGUAAUCGUGUCUCAAAAUGGCACGGUGAAUAUGUCCCUGCUCCUU